rnacentral:lncRNA from 1 species
AAAUGAAAGAACAAGGAGAAGAAAGUACGCUUUAGAAGUCCUUUAUCAGAGUCCCCUCUGUGGCUCAGGGGUAGUGAACCCAACUAGUGUCCAUGGGGUUUCAGGUUUGAUCCCUGGCCUCUCUCAGUGGGUUAAGGAUCUGACAUUGCUGUGAGCUGUGGUGCAGGUCAUGGACACAGCUCUGAUCCCAUGUUGCUGUGGCUGUGACCUAGGACGGCAGCUGCAGCUCCGAUUGGACCCCUAGCCCUGGAACUUCCAUAUGUCGAGGGUGCAAGCCCUAAAAAGCAUUAAAAAAAAAAAAAAAAAAAAAGCUCUGGAGUUCCCGUGGUGGCGCAUUCAUGGCAAAACUGGAUCCUCGACCCAUUGAGCAAGGCCAGGGAUCUAACCCGCAACCUCAUGGAUUCUAGUUGGAUUCAUUUCCUCUGCUCCACAACAGGAACUCCCGUUACUGUUUUUUUAAAUGAGUUCAUUUGUAUUAUUUUUUAAAUGCCACAUAUAAGUGAUAUCAUAAAAUAUUUCUUUUUCUCUAUCUGACUUAUUUCACUUAAUAUGAUAAUCUCUAGGUCCAUCCAUAUUUCUGCAAAAGUCAUGAUUUUAUUCUUUGUUAUGGCUGAGCAGUAUUCCAUUGUAUAUAGUUACCACAUAUCCUUUAUCCAUUCCUCCGUCAAUGGACAUUUAGGUUGCUUCCAUGUUUUGGCUGCAAUGAAACUUGGGUGCAUGCAUCUUCAAAUUAUGGUUUUCUCUGGAUAGAUGCCCAGGAGGGGGAGUGCUGGGUCAUAUGGAUAUUCAUUUUUGCUUGAGGCUGCUUCCAGGAAAGUUGAUUCUCCAGCCUAUUUGGCUUGCCCUGAAGGCAAGAUGAGGAUGCUCCAGCAUCAGGAACAAAAAUAGAGAAGUUCUCAGGCAGAGAGUCACAGGUAUUCAUAGCAAAUAGCCUGCAAUAGAAGAGAAUACAGAGGAAAUAUGUAUGGGGCACAGAGCUCUAAAGAGACCCAGGCAGACCCUCACACAUUAAGUAGAAAAAGAAGAUGUUUACUUUAUAACCUUCAGUUACAUGGAGUCAAACAUCUGCACAAGGUAAGGCUUUAGAAGACAAAGAAGUAGUUGCCAUAAAUGUGACUUCAUAUAAAUGCACUUAAGAAACUAGAGAAAGAAACUGACAAGAUGAAGAGUUUACAUUGUGAGUUCAAGUCACAGGGUAGCGUAUCAUAAAGAUGAUGGGACUUCCUUGAAAUAAUUCCCUGUAAUCUGAAUUGGCAAAGUGAGAUUUCUAAAAAACUAAAGUCUGAUCCAAUAAAUGGUCGAAUUAUAAAGCAAACUGAAUUACCGCCUUGAGAAGGCUCUUAAGUGACAGUUAAGUCAUUGAUGGAAAAAGAAUGGUACACUAAUAAUAGGAAUGAACAUAUUUCAAUGACUCAACUUUGAUCUCCCCCCAGAUUUUUCAGAAUUUUCCUUAGCAACAAAAGCAGCCUCUCCUUUUCUCCUCUGGGAGAUGUUAUUAGCCUCUGUUUGCCUGAAGACCACAAAAUCAUUGUCAGCAUGACACUUACUGACUAUUUUAACCAUUUUAAGUGUAUAUUUCUAUGGCAUGAAGUACAUUCUCAUUGUAGUACAACUAUCACCACCAUGCAUCUCCAGAGAUUUUUCAUCUCCCCAAACUAAAACACGGUCUCCAUCAUACGCCAGUUCCCCUUUCCUGUCUCCCUGCUGGCCCCUGGCCACCCUCAUUCUACCCUCUAUAAACUUGACAAUGCUAGAUGCCUCAUAUAAGUGUAAUCAUGCAGCAUUUUUCCUUUUGUGACUGACUUAUUUCACUUCACAUAAUGUCCUUGAGGUUCAGCCACAAAGUAGCAUAGGUCAGAAUCUCUGACCUCUUUAAGGCUGAAUAGUAGUCCAUUGUACAUACAGUCCACAUUUUGUUUAUCCAUCCAGCCACUGAUGGGCAUAUAGAUUGCUUCUACCUUCCAGCUGCUGUAAAUAAUGCUGCCAGGAACAUUGUUGCACAAAUAACUAUAUGAGUCCCUGCCUUCAAUUCGGUUGAAUACUAGUGAGCUUAUGAAAACCACUUGCGAUAGUGCAUCAAGCUUCAGUCUUUGACAGAAGCUUCCCUGGCAUUUGGUGUUCACAUCUUUGAUAACUAUUCCCCAGCCCUCUCAUGUUACAUAUGCCCUUGCAUAUCUUGAAUACAUAACGUGGCUUCUGUUUUCCUGGCUUACAUUUAAUGUUCAUGUUUCAUGCUCCCUCCCAUUCAUUUUCUGUGCUCUGGUGAUACUUUUGUUAUCGGUUUUGCUAACCAUGCUCCCCCCUACCCCAGGGCCUUAGAACUUGCCCCUUUGGGUGUUUGAGUUACUUUUGAUAUACCUCUUUUUUUCCCCUAAUUAACACAUCGUCUUUCAAAACUCAGCUCAGUGUCACAUCCUCAAGGGAGCAUUUUCCUUCUCAGGGACCUUUGAGUAUUAUCUCCUCUUCCCUUAGAAUACUUUAACUUGGUUUCUAAUUUUAUAUUUACCUGUGUUCUUAUUUAAUUAACAUUUCUGUCAUGGUCCAGGCACAGAAGCUAAGCUCUAGGUGAUCAGAGAUUCUCUGCUCACUUUGUUUUUCUAGCACCAAAUUGCUACACUGUGUAGCAAUUACUAGCUAUGAUUUCAAGUCAUUUUGGAAGCCUGUUAAAGAACUGUGAACUCCAACAGAUGCUGGUAUUCUGGAGAGGGCAUUGAAGGAUAUAGUAGCUUAAAACCAAGGGGUUCAGGUUGCUGUUUGAGUCAACAGCUUAGAACAUGUCAGAGCUGAGAACACACUUACUCAUAUGGCCAAUAGGAAGGGGGAAGUGAUCUGGUUAAGGGGGAUGCUGUUGUACCUUUGUUCAGCAUGAUAGAGAUUGGGGGCUUGCCCUUGAGACUUCCUUGAGGAAGGAGAGCAUUGAUUUCUCACUGCUGCCUGACCUCAGCCUCUGCUCACCAUUGCUGAAUAGGAAUGCAGAGACAGAGUUUUGGGUGAAGGAGGAAAAAAUAACAUUAUUGUUUUGCCAGGCAAAAGGGAGUCACAACAGGCUAAUGCCUCAAAGACUGUGUCCUCCCUUAGGAGAGAUCGUAAGGGUGGUUUUUUAGCUUUGGGAGUGAAAAAUAGGCCCGCAGAUAGGGAUCAGUGUAGAGGCAAGCUUGCAUUGUUUUCAAAGCUGGGGUUCAGUGGUCUGGUGGCCUUCUUUUUGCAAUAAAGUGUGCUUCAUUAUAUGUAUGUAUGACUGGGUCACUUUGCAAUACAGCAGAAAUUGACAGAACAUUGUAGAUCAACUAUGAAGAAAAAAUAAAAAUCUUUAAAAAGAAAUUUCCAUUUAUUGGAGGGUUUAGUUCUACGGGAGACCUCAAAGAUGUUGUAUAUAUUCCUUGUGGAGGGACCAGGACACUGCCCAAAGGCUGCGCUAUUGUUUCUUGACUGCCUCUCUCUGGUCUCUGCAUCCCCUCCCUUCUCUGAUUAGCAACUGUUUGAACUUGCCCUUUGGAAUGAGGGAAGGUCAUGGGGGCUGAAGUUUAUUCCCUAAAAACAAGAAAUGGGGGACACAGAAAGGCUUCUGUGCCCAGGAGCCCACAGGAUCCCACUUGGUUUCAUCACAGCAAAGUUUGGGGGCUUUAGAGAGAUAUCAACUCUUCAAUACCCAAGGCAAUUCAAAUGGAAACUCAACCACUGUAUCAGGGAGUUCAGUGGCUGAGAGGAAGGGUUAAGUGAGUCUUUUUUUUCACACAUAAGACACCUCUGGAUCUCAAACAGUAGUCUUCAGAGAUUCAGAAGGAAAACAUAAGUGCCCAGGAAUGGAAUAAAAAGAAAAACACAAGUAUGACAAUAGGAGACAAGUUGUUUGUUUAUUUAACGAGGUAGAUGCUUCUGCUUUCCUUAUGAAGGCUGCACGUAAUUGUCAGAGACCACACUCCAAACUGGACGAAGAGUUUCUGAUUUGACAAUCUGUUCUUCGAUUUAAGCAAGCAUAAAUAAAACAUAACUAUGUACUCCUGAUUUAACCGUGUACGUAAGUAUGUAUACGUGGCCUUGUACAUAGCCCCAACUAACCUAAACACUUGUAUUUCUAUAAAGUCUAAACACUGAAAAUUAUAUUCUCUCCAAAACUGAGAACUGAUUCAUCUGAUUAUAAUUACAAUUGUACAGGUCUCGUUGUGAAGAAAAAACCCCUAUUCAUUUAUCGUAGAUGACUCUCUGAAGAACAUGAUGGGAACUCCUAAGCUACUAGUUUUUCUCUUCUGACCCAAGUUUCACCUAAAUUUCUGAAGUGACUAGUGCUUUCAUGACAAUGAAACGUAUCCUAAAUAAUGAAGCUCAUCACCAUCUCCCAAAGUUCUCUUCAAGGAAAACAAGCUCAAGUCAUAAAGUAAUCAUAUGAUAAAAUUGACUGCCAACCCACGACUAUGCAAAGCUGCUUCAAAGUCUGGUUUCCCUCUAGUGUUAAUUACCCAAAGUCUAUAUGCUCUAGGUUAUGAGUAGAAAUAGGAAAAGAAGAAGAGAAUGUGGCCCAGAGAGCACAACUUGAGGGAAAAGCACAUGAGUUGAUGCAGAUUCCUGUCUGAUCAGAGAAAGGCAAAGGCCAUAGGUGUUGGGAAGGAGGAAGGCCAGAGGCAUCCAGGUACCUUUUGCAAACUGCAGACUCUCAGGACAUGAAGGUGAGAAGGCAAGGGCAGGGGGUUAGAAGGUCAAGCAGCUACAAGCAAUCAGUCAGCCAAAUUGCUGAAAGCCCAGGGCAAGAAAGGCAAAAGUACAGGUUUUGUAGAGCAGUGGCAACAAGGAAGAAAAUUUGGAUUCAGUGGCAGCUGUCACUGUUUACUUCUCACCCUAGAGAGAGUCAUUCCUGAGUGGACCCAGACUGCAGGCUGGGAUUGAUGGUAACAGAGAACAGCUGGUGG